CAGUCGCCGCGGGAAUACAGAGGAUGCAAGCGUUAUCCGGGAUGAUUGGGCGUAAAGUGUCUGUAGGUGGCUUUUCAAGUCCGCCGUCAAAUCCCAGGGCUCAACCCUGGACAGGCGGUGGAAACUACCAAGCUAGAGUACGGUAGGGGCAGAGGGAAUUUCCGGUGGAGCGGUGAAAUGCGUUGAGAUCGAAAAGAACACCAACGACGAAAGCACUCUGCUGGGUCGACACUGGCACUGAGAGACGAAAGCUAGGGGAGCAAAUGGGAUUAGAUACCCCAGUAGUCCCUGUCUCUUAUAC
rnacentral:rRNA from 1 species